GCCGCGCCCCGUGAUUGGCUGCGCUGCCCCACGUGACUCUGGUUGGCGGCGGCGGUUGCCGAGGCGACGGCUGGAGCGGUGGCGGCCGAGCAGCAGAGCUUUUUGCUGUGAGAAUUAACAGUAACAGUUCAAUAUGGAGGAUAUUCUGGCUCACGAAUCAGAGUUACUUGGACUAGUGAAAGAGUAUUUAGAUUUUGCUGAAUUUGAAGACACCUUGAAAACAUUUUCAAAAGAAUGCAAAAUAAAAGGAAAACCAUUAUCUAAAACAGCAGGUGGCUCUUUAAGGGACUCCAAAUCAUUGAUAAUCCAGAGGGACCUCGUUGCUGCGUUUGACAGCGGAGACCAGAAGGUGUUCUUCGAUUUGUGGGAAGAGCACAUUCCCAGUUCCAUCCGAGCUGGUGACUCCCUCGCCCAGAAGUUGGAAUUCUAUCUUCACAUCCAUUUUGCCAUCUAUCUUCUGAAACACUCCAUGGGGAGACCUGACAAAGAAGAACUGGAUGAAAGGAUUUCUUAUUUCAAAACCUACCUGGAAACCAAAGGGGCAGCCCUGAGCCAGACCACAGAGUUUCUCCCUUUCUAUGCCCUGCCUUUUGUUCCCAACCCUAUGGUCCACCCCUCAUUUAAAGAACUCUUCCAGGAUUCUUGGACUCCAGAAUUGAAGUUGAAGUUGGAAAAGUUUCUGGCUUUAAUUUUUAAAGCGAGUAACACGCCAAAGCUUUUAACGUUGUAUAAGGAGAAUGGACAAAGUAACAAAGAAAUGUUGCAGCAGCUCCACCAGCAGCUGGUAGAAGCUGAGCGAAGGUCAAUGACAUACCUGAAACGGUACAAUAAGAUCCAGGCGGACUACCACAAUCUCAUUGGAGUCACAGCAGAGCUGGUGGAUUCUCUGGAGGCCACAGUCAGUGGCAAGAUGAUCACCCCGGAGUACCUGCAGAGCGUCUGCGUCCGCCUCUUCAGCAACCAGAUGCGGCAGAGCCUGGCACACAGCGUGGACUUCACGAGGCCCGGGACGGCUUCAACCAUGUUAAGAGCCUCCUUGGCACCCGCGAAAUUGAAGGAUGUCCCAUUACUGCCCUCCUUGGAUUAUGAAAAACUGAAGAAGGAUUUGACUUUGGGGAGUGACCGCUUGAAAGCCUUCUUGUUGCAGGCUCUGCGCUGGCGCUUGACCACGUCCCAUCCUGGAGAGCAGAGGGAGACUGUCCUGCAGGCGUACAUCAGCAACGACCUCUUGGACUGUCAUAGCCACAGCCAGAGGGGCGUGCUGCAGCUGCUGCACUCCAGGAGUGAGGUGGUGCGGCAGUACAUGGCCAGGCUCAUCAACGCCUUUGCCUCCCUGGCAGAAGGUCGCCUCUACCUAGCCCAGAGCACAAAGGUGCUGCGGAUGCUGGAGGAGAGGCUGAAGGAGGAAGACAAGGACAUCAUCACCCGGGAGAAUGUUCUUGGGGCCUUGCAGAAGUUCAGCCUCAGGCGCCCGCUGCAGACAGCGAUGAUUCGAGAUGGCCUCAUCUUCUGGCUCAUUGAUAUUCUGAAGGACCCCGACUGCCUGUCUGACUACACGCUGGAGUAUUCGGUGGCUCUGCUCAUGAACCUCUGCCUCCGGAGCGCAGGGAAGAACAUGUGUGCCAAGGUGGCAGGCCUCGUGCUGAAAGUUCUUUCAGAUCUGCUCGGCCACGAAAACCACGAGAUACAGCCGUAUGUGAAUGGAGCUUUGUACAGCAUUCUUUCUAUUCCAUCCAUUCGUGAGGAAGCAAGAGCAAUGGGAAUGGAAGACAUCCUUCGCUGCUUCAUCAAAGAAGGCAAUGCUGAAAUGAUCCGCCAGAUUGAAUUUAUCAUCAAGCAGCUAAAUUCAGAAGAGCUGCUGGAUGGUGUUCUUGAAUCUGAUGAUGAUGAAGAUGAAGACGAUGAAGAGGACCAUGACACUAUGGAAGCUGAUCUGGACAAAGACGAGCUGAUCCAGCCCCAGCUUGGAGAACUCUCAGGCGAGAAGCUUCUGACCACGGAGUACUUGGGACCUGGAAGACCAUCCCAUUUCUCCCCAGAUGGCCCGGCACACCAGAAACGGCUGCCUUCCAUCCCUGCUGGACGCCUACCUCCCAGUCGACGAGGGGGCCGCUGUGGACGCCAAGCCAGGAGCGUGGUUGCCAGCAGGACGUCACGGAGAGCCUCGCCUGCCCGCCUCGGGGGCCCCCAGCCAGCCAAGGGAGGUGCCCCGGGCCCUGGGCAGUGGAGAGACCACCAGGAUCUAGGGGUCGGAGAAACCAGCCGGAUGGCGCUGCCCUACUGCCCUUCCUGCAGGCUCCCCCUGAUGGAAACCCCACAGAAACAGGAAUUCCUGCCGAGUCUAGAGGACACAGGAACACCUGGAGCUGCCACAGCCACUGAGAACAGGCAGAAGGCCUGGCAGACCCGGCCCCCCCUGGAGGGAGAAAGUCGGAGAUAAGGGGGAGGGGAGACAGGAGGGGGAAGAGUGCUGAAGCCCAUUCCCCUUAGCAGCGGGCAGCACCCCUGCAUCUUCCUUUGCCACCACUGCUGUUGGCAGAGCCUGGAGCUGGGCAUGGGGUCAAGGGCGGGGUCAGAGCUACCUGGGGCCGCAGCGCUGUGUGCGGUUGAGCCAGCAGCACUUUGGGACCUGGCCUGGGACCUGGCAAAUCUCUACCCGGCAGAGGGUAUAAAAGAUGGCUGGGUGAGCCAGAGGCUGGGGCGGGCUGGGGUGGGGAGCCCGGGGGCCCAGAAUCUGGUCUCCUUCAGCCCAACCCCCGACCAGCUGUGGACCUGGGGACGGGCCUCCCCUGCCUGGGCCUCCUCCGCCCUCAGAGUGGCUGAAGGUGAGCUCUGGCAGUGGAAAUGCCCGAGGCCCACAGGCAGUCAGCCGGCUCAGGGGUUCUCCAGCUCUCGGCACCCUCCUGAAGUGGGGGCUCAAAACGAGUGGGUGGGCCAGAGCCUAGGCUGGGCCCUGCUGCCCUGGCCUCAUCGCUCCCAGGACAGGACCAGGAUCUAGUCCUUUGGCGCAGCCAGGCCACACCUGCCCUUCUGGUGCUCGAGCCACUUCUUUUUCCUUCCUGUCAAUGCCCAAUUCAUUUCUGAGGCUCACCCUGGGGAUGGUCCUCUCUCCCCAGAAAUAACUGUUUUCAGAGUAGGCAGGGCACCCCAAAAGCUCUCUUCUUAGAAACAUUUCCAUUUGUUACCCCAAAUGGGGUUACCCACUUGGCCUCCAAACUUCUGUUGGGCACAAAUGCCCCCUCGGGGUUAAACCCAUGGGUGCUCUCGCCCUAAUGUCGAUCACUUGAACUCAACUCUUAUUUUAAGUCCGGGGCUCUGUGUGAGGAAGAGGAGGAUGGGAAGGGGGAGCGUGCGGUGGCCCCAUUCCCCUUCUUACCCCACUGGCUGGCUGACCCCUGCCUGGAAUAUUCUUUUCCCACCUUAGCCUUCUCUUAACCAGGCUGCUCCCGGUCUCAGCUAAGUACCCCUUCCUCCCGCCUGAGCCCAAAGUCCAGUCACACAGCCGCGUCCCCACGCACGGGGGCCCAGAGCCCACUGUGUGGUCAUGAGGUCCGGGACUCUCCCGCUGUCCUCAAAGACAGGGGCCAUGUGAAGGGUGUUUGUCCCUGCGUUCCCACACCUGGCCCAGAGCAGCCUCUCCAGAUGUUUAUGAGGAGGAGAAAGGGAGAGGCAUGGCCUGCAUGCGGGCCGUUUGUCCCUCAGCUUCCCCCAGCUCCUCUCUCAGUCUUUAGGGUGAAGACAGACAGUCGGCCAGGUGGGUGCUGCUUGACCGCUCACAGCCCGUGGAAGGCCCCUGGAGCUGAGAGUUGACACAAACGGUAGCUUGAACGAUAGCGUUCCUUCUUAGCCCCAACUUGGAGGGGGUUGAAAGCUCAUUGCAGCUCUGGCUCACGCCGGUGCUUCCAGCCACUGGUCGUGCUGUGAAAUUGCCUCCCCAGAAGCCAAGGAGCAACAGGUUCAGCGCCUGUGACCCCCCCCACCCCCCACCCCCCAGGGCCAAGCUUUGCUUUUUUCUAUCUGCUUCUUAGACUCCUUAGCACUAAAUAGCAGAGAAACAACGCUAGUAACCAGGCUUUAAAAAUGCCAUUUGUUUAAAAAAAAAGAAAAAAGUAUUUAUCCCGGGAAGAGCCGGGGUGUUCUGCCGUGAAUCCGUCGGUCCGGACCGCGAGGGCUGACUUGCACCCCGGAACGUGCAGGCCUUGGUUUCCAGCUGUCACCUCCCGGAGGGUGGUGGGUCUCACUGCCCAGACUGUCACGUGGCCUUGCCUGCCUGCCGUCUGUGGGCACUGGCGCGUGGUCCACGCGGAGAUGAGUCCAGGUGGACCGGGAGGGAGCUUGCUCACGUUCCCUCCGUGUGGCCCCAGGGACAGGCGAGGAAAUGGGCUCCUGGGGUUGGAGCUGUCACUCUGGCACAGACGCCGACCUGGUCCCGGGCUGGGAUUAGAAGCAAACAUUGUCAAAGUUCCUGUCCUGCCACAGACAGGAAAUGACUCUUUUGCGAGUAUUGUGACUUUCAAACAAUAAGGAAGAAAGAGAUUUUACAGAUGUCUGCACAUGCGCUUUCUCCCCUUCACAUUUGUCCCAAAAAGACACCACGUGGCAGCUCACGACGACAGAUACGGCGCAUCAGCUAAAAGAAACGACAAACUAACAGCAAGGAAGCUGGGGAAAUUAGGACGGCAUAGCUGUGUGGUUACACCCGCGUGUGCGCACGAACACACACAUGUGUGAACUGUUGAUGAGGUCUCCAUGCCUGCCUUCAUCUGGUGUGUGGUCUCCCCGGUCCCAGCCUGUCUGGGUUUUGUUGUAGCCCAGACACACUGUCCGCAGCAAUGACCGAGAGCCAGUUGGGAAUGUGACGAGCAGAGUCCACUUAGGGGACCCCUGAGCACUUUCACUUGCACGGUAAUGCUCACGAUGGCUCCCAGGACCUGAGAGGACACAGGAGAAGGUGGAGAAGGCUCCACUGCGGGAUUAUGACUCAGCAGCAUUCCAAACGCAAGUCGAGAUUAAAUAUCUCCAAAAGCCUUUUAUUGCUGUUCGCUUCCCACACAAUGUUCCUAUUGAUGAGCGGAGAUAAUAUAAGCAGGCCGGGCCUCUCAGAUCAAAAAUGGCCUAUCUCGCAGGGCCCCUCCUGCAGUUUACGCAUAUGCUGAAGUUUGCUAUCUGCCUGGACCGUCACCAUGUGUUCCUGCAGCAAUACUUUUUUCUGAGUCAAAGGUGACCGCCAUCCUGAACUUCCCGUCGGUGUCUUUUACUCCUCUGCCCCAGUCUUGCCUCUUCUCCUGCCAGAGCAUCCCCAUUUCCCAGCUCUGGUUCCUGGCUGCCCAUGCUGCUGAGCUCGCCAUUCUGGGGAAAUGGCGGCCCUGAGGCCACUCAGGGGCCAAGCUGACCCUUACUGACAGCCGUCCAGCCUGCCUCCCAUGUUGUCCUUCCCAGAAGGUCCUGAUGUCGUCAUCCCUGUGGAGUUCAAGGACGGUGACCAGCAUCCUCAGUCAACACAGCCGCCUCCUGCAGCAGCCCCCAAGGCAGUUUGGAGAACUUCCUGGGGGGAAUUUACAUCAGCCGUCACCUGCAAGCCCCGGACGCCCUGCACCCCAGAGAUCCUGGACCUGACCCCACCCAAGGCCAAGGCGUCGGCUCUGGCCCCUCAGUUCUCC